rnacentral:rRNA from 1 species
AGUAGUUUGAUCCUGGCUCAGGACGAACGCUGGCGGCGUGCUUAACACAUGCAAGUCGAACGAAGUCGUUCCACCGACACGGAUUACUUCGGUAAGAAGUGUCACCGGAAAGGCUUAGUGGCGGACGGGUGAGUAACGCGUGAGCAACCUGCCCAUAAGAGGGGGAUAACAGUUGGAAACGACUGCUAAUACCGCAUAAGACCACAUUACCGCAUGGUAGAGGGUCAAAGAACGGAAUCGCUUAUGGAUGGGCUCGCGUCCCAUUAGGUAGUUGGCAGGGUAAAAGCCUACCAAGCCGACGAUGGGUAGCCGACCUGAGAGGGUGAUCGGCCACACUGGAACUGAGACACGGUCCAGACUCC